ACAAAAUCAUCAAAAGACAAAGGAGAUCAUCAAACAAAAUCAUCUUUGACGAAAUCGAUAAAAUCAUCAAAAGACGAAAUCGAUAAAAGGAUUGAUAUCUAGCUAUCUAGCUAUUUCAUCCUUCUCUUUCCUUUAUUACUUACCAGCUUCCUUGAUAGAGGUAGGCCUGCAAAUUCCAAGGAGCAAACCUUUGAUGCUGCUGAUGUUGAUUCAUCAAAACCAAUAAAACUAGACACCGCAUCUCUAGCGAACAUUGACAAUCACAGAAAGCUUCAAGAGGAUCUAAACCGAUGAAAUGGUGGGACUUGCAAGACAACUCAAGGAGAGAAGUCAAGCGAUAAGCCAAUCUGUGCAAAAUACAGAAAAGACUCCACCGAGGAGGCCAUUGAGCAAAGCUUAGCGAGCACAGGACACGUGACAACAAGAGCCACAAAAGAUAUAUUCACAAAGCUCAAAGACAAGUUGCUUCCAGUGGCUAUUGAUCUUCGCCAUGACAUGUGUGUUCAUAAUGGUUGUCCUGCUGAUCCGAGUUACAUAGAUAAUGGUUCGGAAUGUGAACCAGAUUAGUGAAACUCUAAAGAACAUUUCAGUUUGUCAAAGUUAUGUUGCCUUUGUAAAUUCUGAGUUUGGAAUAUGUGAGAGUGAAAUGAAACAACACAACUUGAUUCUA